rnacentral:rRNA from 1 species
GACGAACGCUGGCGGCGUGCUUAACACAUGCAAGUCGAACGGUGAUGCUCCAGCUUGCUGGAGUGGAUCAGUGGCGAACGGGUGAGUAACACGUGAGCAACCUGCCCCAGACUCUGGAAUAAGCGCUGGAAACGGCGCCUAAUACUGGAUACGAAACUGGCCCGCAUGGGCAUGGUUUGAAAAUUUUUUCGGUUUGGGAUGGGCUCGCGGCCUAUCAGCUUGUUGGUGAGGUAAUGGCUCACCAAGGCGACGACGGGUAGCCGGCCUGAGAGGGCGACCGGCCACACUGGGACUGAGACACGGCCCAGACUCCUACGGGAGGCAGCAGUGGGGAAUAUUGCACAAUGGGCGAAAGCCUGAUGCAGCGACGCCGCGUGGGGGAUGACGGCCUUCGGGUUGUAAACCUCUUUCAGCAGGGAAGAAGCGAAAGUGACGGUACCUGCAGAAGAAGCACCGGCUAACUACGUG